UCUGCAGUUGGCAGUGCACCUAUUGAUGAUUGCUCUCCACCGAAGACCAAAGGUGAAAACUGGGGUAUUGAAUGUGAUUCCAUGUUUAGCCUAUCACACGAGUAUGAGUCUAAAUCUCCUAGGGAUAGGUCACAAACCCUGAAUCAUUGUGAUAAAUCAUAUUUGAAGUCUAGCCUUGCUAUGAACAAGCUAAGAGACAGUUAAGUGCUCAAUGAUUUCAUCAACAAAGCUUCACCUAAAAUCACUUUGGAAGAGGAAAUCGGACCCUGAUCUGAGAACAUCAAGCAUUCCUAUUUUGGUAUCUGAUAUGGAAUCAAUUAAUCAGCGAAUCUACAAUAUAACUUGUGAAAGUAUUCCUGCUCAAGGGAUUUGGUGUAAAGAUGAUGGAUGUGUAUUCAAAACUAUCUUCUGCCCCUUUUGUGCCAACCCCAACAAUUGUCUUGGAGUACAGGUCAUGGCUGCUGAUGCAUCAAAUGUCCAAUUUCUGAACAAGAUACUAUUUUAUUCUGAUUCCCUCUUGAUAAAGGCAGCUGAAACAUCAACAAUGGAUUCGUGAAAGGCCGGAGCAUUCAAUUAAGACAAUGUGUUGCUAGCCUACGAAUUACUUGGCGACGUAUGUAAGAGGUAGAAGAUUUUGUAGAGGAAAACACAAUUCAAGUUGCUGGCGACCUGGUUUGGAUGUCUUCCU